rnacentral:rRNA from 1 species
UACGUAGGGCGCAAGCGUUAUCCGGAAUUAUUGGGCGUAAAGAGCUCGUAGGCGGUUUGUCGCGUCUGCCGUGAAAGUCCGGGGGCUCAACUCCGGAUCUGCGGUGGGUACGGGCAGACUAGAGUGAUGUAGGGGAGACUGGAAUUCCUGGUGUAGCGGUGAAAUGCGCAGAUAUCAGGAGGAACACCGAUGGCGAAGGCAGGUCUCUGGGCAUUAACUGACGCUGAGGAGCGAAAAGCAUGGGGAGCGAACAGG